UACGGAGGGUGCGAGCGUUGUCCGGAAUCACUGGGCGUAAAGGGCGCGUAGGCGGCCUGAUAAGUAGGGGGUGAAAUCCUGCGGCCUAACCGCAGGGCUGCCUUCUAAACUGUCAGGCUGGAGCACAGUAGAGGCAGGUGGAAUUCCCGGUGUAGCGGUGGAAUGCGUAGAGAUCGGGAAGAACAUCAGUGGCGAAGGCGGCCUGCUGGGCUGUUGCUGACGCUGAGGCGCGACAGCGUGGGGAGCAAACAGG
rnacentral:rRNA from 1 species